rnacentral:rRNA from 1 species
UACGGAGGAUGCGAGCGUUAUCCGGAUUUACUGGGUUUAAAGGGUGCGUAGGCGGGCUUUUAAGUCAGCGGUAAAAAUUCGGGGCUCAACCCCGUCCGGCCGUCGAAACUGGGGGCCUUGAGUGGGCGAGAAGAAGGCGGAAUGCGUGGUGUAGCGGUGAAAUGCAUAGAUAUCACGCAGAACCCCGAUUGCGAAGGCAGCCUUCCGGCGCCCUACUGACGCUGAGGCACGAAAGUGCGGGGAUCGAACAGG